AAGACUAUACUUUCAGGGAUCAUUUCUAUAGUUGGAUUAAGCCUCUUUUGAAUUCUUUCUAGUCAUUAACCAAGGAUGUAGAUAAUUUUGGCAUCAUGCAGAGUGCCUGGGAAAGUAGAUGACUUCCACCCCUCUCCAGCCAGCUCAGGAAGGUGCAGUCUCUCAGGGGCUUGCCCAGGUGUGCCCUUGAUGGUUAUCCACUUACUGGGACAGUACAUGAGGUCGCAGGGUGGUGAGUGAUGCCAUAUCAGUUGUG
rnacentral:snoRNA from 1 species